ACUCCCCAGGGGAAGUCACCCCGAAGCAGUGCCGCGGGCCCCCGCGCCGCGGAGGGUCUCUCCCUUCCUUCACCCCACCUACUCUCUGCCCAGGAUCACACCGCCAGCUGGAAAUUAAAAGCCCGCUGAACCCAGGACCGCCCAGCAAGGGUCUUACAAGCCCAGCAGAAAGCUGCUUCCGGACAGGAAGACAGUCUAACUAGGAAUUAGAAGUUUAACUCCGCCAGCAAGCGUGCUGGCGUUCUCCUUGGCGGUUCCUCCGCGGUCUUCGUACUUCGGUCAGCAUUUCAAGAACAGCCGGUGCCGAGGCCACGUUGCCGCCAAACCUACUCCCCACUGUCCACACCGGCCUCUCUGGCCCACAAGUGACAGUCUCCUCCUGUCCCGCCUGCCGCCCCCCGGGAUGGGGAUAGGAAAGCGGGACGUGGGAGGGGCAUCCACUCCGCCCCCAACCCCCUCCCCUUCCCGGGUAAUAGAGGCUAGGGUGAGACCAGAGUGUAUAUUUGGGCACUGAACACCAAUAAAUGAAUGUUUCUCUAAUAUCAUUAUUUCCCUGAAACCUCGACAUCUAUAACCAACCUGCUCUGUGUUCAUCUGGCUUCUCUUCCCCCUUCUUUCACCUGAUGUGCUCGGUCGCCCUCCCCAUGGACUGGGUAGCCCGCCAGGCUCCUCUGCACGUCUAAUUUACAGCCAGUGCCACAGAUCUCACUGGGCGAGAGAGGAGCCGUCCUCUCACCACCCAGAAGUGAAAUAAAGUUUUCCAUAGUAUCCUUGUUUAAUGCACUAUGGGAGAGCGUCUGUCCCCCCUUCUCUUGCUAGAAAAGACAA